rnacentral:tRNA from 1 species
GGGCUAUAGCUCAGCUGGGAGAGCGCUUGCAUGGCAUGCAAGAGGUCGACGGUUCGAUCCCGUC